CUUCUUCUCACCUCCAGAUGUCACGACUUCCAUCUGGGAACAACACCUCCGGGUGACGCGGGGUGACAACAGCAGGUGAUACAGCUCAAUUCCAAGUGCAUGCUGGGAAAUCUGCAUUAACAGGACUAACUCUCUCCUGACAGGAUCCACCGCAACACUUUGUUAGUUAGCUCUUCUCAGCCGACCCAAUUAUGAUGCUUCUAUACAGCUAUCUCCUGCCUCUGCUCCACAUUCCUGCAUCGCCGGCCCUGACCUCAAUACUUAGACCGGAGCGACGACGAUGAAGGGACGACUGGUGAAAGAGGAAAAAGACGGAGUAAGUGAGUAACGAACAGUGACAGUGCAUGAAGAACCUCUGAUCCAGCAUGAAAAUCGCCUCUCUUCAUGCUUUGUCCUCCUCUAAUGAUUCUCUGACAAACUGUCCGCCCGCAGGCCGCUUCACACAUCAGACGUUAGCAUGAAGACGCUGUCAUCUGUGGGCCUCCGUAAAAGAGGAACAAUUAGAGAAGAGUCUGCUGGUGGAUAAUAAACACAGAGCUGGUUCAACAGGACUCCUGUGGUUAGUCUGCUGAUCUAUUAAACACCAAUACUGCUGCUGUUUAAUAUGCAAAUACUACCAAACACCAAAGUCAAAUAUUAGUAUUACUCUCCAGGUUACACUUCCAAACUCUGCCUUAGAUUCUCGUCCCUGUCUGAAUCUGUGAGUCUGGUACAAUUUUCAGUCAGUGAAUCAACUUAAAUGAAGUCAGGGUUGAUUUCAAUGAUGGUGGAACGAAUAUUCAGGUAGUUUAUUUCCACAAAAGUGCCAAAACGUUUAACACCGUUGACCAGCAUCACCUUAUAUGUCGACGACCUCAACCUCAUCCCUAAUUUCCACCGCAUCCAAAACGGCGGCGAUUUUUGCCAUCCACCGAUUCCUACCCGAUCCGUUUGUGAGGCGAAUUUCGUGAUGGAUUACAGACAACGGGAAUCGCGAGAACCUACAAGAGCCCGCGGAUUCACGAUCAAUGGCGCGAUGACAGUAGAUUGUGUCCUUCCAGAGGAGGAAAUCUACUUCUAGACUUCUAGAAUCAGCAUCUCCUCAUCCAUGGUGUCAUCCGGGUAAAAUACGAUCCGGCUAAAACUGGCUAAACCCACAGGAUCCGGAACGACUCCGCUCCGCUUUGGACCAGCAGGCGGAUCAGAUCCGCAAGCAUACAGCGCCCAAGGGAUCCGAUCCGCAGUCGCCAUCGGAGGAGAAGCGCUCGCGAGAGACUGGACGAGAUCUGACCUUUUCCUGGAAGUCAUAGAAUGAGAUCCGCCAAUCGGUGUAUAUAAACACCCACAUCCCACAACCCUGUCCUCUCCUAUUAUCACGUUUAGAACAGUCCAACUUAUUGACUUUAUUUUAUUUUGAAAAUUAACCGGAUAUUUGACUCUGUAGCCGCAUAAAACUUCCGCUGCUGCUCCUGCUGCGCCGCGCUGAAUUGAUGCACCGUGCUCCGGCGUCCAGCAAAAAAAGAAACCUUCCGUAUUUGAUCUGGCCGCCGGAGCCGAUCCACAGUGGAGCCGGACGGUUUCUGUGGAAUGACUCACAUUGAUUAUAAUGCUUGUGGAUUUGAUCUGCCAGCCGUGCCGGAGCAAAGUGCAGCUGUUCUGGACCCUGGGGGUUUUGACCGAAAUACAGAUUGUUUUAUUUUGAAAAGAAGCCGGAUGUUUUAUUUUGUGUCUGUGCCCGACUUCCUUUCCAACAAAAACAAAUCUGUGCUGAAUUUAUCAGCAUGCUGCCACAUCCGAAAAAAAUAGAACUCUUGCGAUCGGCUGUGGAGUCCGACGAUCUGCAGCGUCACGAAAAGAAGCCGGUGGAUACUGACACAUUAACUUGAAUGUUGAAGGUUACAAUCGGCGGAUACGGCCUUUUCGUAGCCGUUCCGGAUGCAGUGGAAGUUGGCAGUAAGAGGUAAAGUUCCCGAUAAUGUUAGCCAAAGUACCAGAAACUGUUCAAGAACAAAUCCAAAAUAAACACACAUGCUGUUAAAACUAUAAACGGAUAAUUAAGAGCUGACGGUAACAGGUGUGGAGAUCUGCAAUAAACACUAAUUUAUGUGUGACGUGACCUCAGUAAUGAGGCGGGGAAGUUGCUACGACAACAAGCACAGCACUGAGAUGAGUGGCCAACAUGGCUUUAAACAAACACAAAAGUCACUGCAAACCUGUUUGAGAAAUAAUAGACGCACAAAUAUUUACACUACAAAUUCAUAUGACCUCUCCUCUGUCUAACACACACACACACACACUCACUAACACAGCGUACAAAUCCGUCACUAAACACACUUACACACCUGAGGAUGACUAAAGCAGUGACUCAGACUAAAUGAGAUGAUUUAUGAAUCGAGGACUGGACCAGAGAUCUGAUGGUCCCUCAUAUUCAUGACCUUCUGCGAACCACCAUCAGUCCACGGCUGACAGUCCCGUCACUCACGCUGAUGAGUUUUCCAAACAGCAACAGCUGAUUUUCUCCAAUGACUAGGCGGAAAAAAAAAAAAUCUGGUGACUGCAUUUGAAUCUGAAACUCGAGAGUUUUGAUCCAAAUAAACAGAAUAAGUGCCGGUUUGCUCAAGUAAAAGGGGACGAAUCAGACACUCAGACCAGCAUCUCUAAUCCCCGCGGUUGACACUGAGGUUAAGUUCAGAUAGUUUCCAGACUGAGGCUCAAGUCUGUGGACAGAGAGCUUCUCAAAGGCGAGAGGGGAUGCACGAACUGCUGAAUCUCAAAGACAGGACUCUCUGAAUCAGGAUUGUUCUAGGUCUGUUUCUUUAUAAUACUACACUAGCAUAAAAAAACCUGUUCCUGGUUAAAGGUAGGGUAGGCAGGAUUCCGUUAAAGAAGCAUCUUUUUUUGUGGUGUAUUUACAAAAAAGCUUUAAGAGCUUUUAAGAGCGGACAAGAGCUAAAAAGCCGGGUCAACAUAAACCAUGGGGGACGCUUGGGGAUCUUGGUGACCCUGUAACCUUUCUGCUGGACAGGUAAACCGCUUUAACAAAGUAAGACAAGUGUCUGUAACAGAAGUGUUUCUUGUCAAACGGACCUGCUGUAGCGUGUUGUAGCGCCAUCGCUAAACUGUCCUCCCUCGGGUCCUGGACUAUGUCACUUUAUCCUCAUUGGAGAAGUCCUGCAAACAUUGCGUUUAGGGUUGGGUAUUGCUUGAUCUUGAACUAUUCCGGUUCCGAUUCCUCGUUUCGAUUCCGGUUCCUAACGAUUCUCCAUUGUGGUAUUUGUUGGUUAUUUCUUCCGGUCGGCGGACUCCGGCAUCGGAACUUGGAACUUGAAAUUUUAAAAUUUGAAUGAUUCCGGGAGAAUCGGAAUGUCAGUCACGGUCCCCAUCGAUGCUCGAGACUCGAUGCCCAACCCUAAUUGUGUUUGCUGGUAGUCUGUUGGCAUCUACAGUAGCACCAAUGCUUUUGACUUUCACCUUGACUGGGCCCCAUUUGUAAUGAUCUGAAGUAUUUAUCUGCAUUAUAUCUGAAUUUAAUUGGAACGAUACGAGCGAGCAGGAGCGUCUGUUUGUGGGCGGGGCUUGAGGGGAAAACUGGUUGGGAGGGGUAGAGUUUACAUUCAAGAUUUCUCCUUAAAACUGGCACUUCCUCAGAUCCUGACUACCCUACCUUUAACGCUCAGUUUUCUCAACAGUGACAGAGGUUUGACUGGACUUUGCUUUUAUCUCAUUUAAAGGAAAAAACUACGAGUGAUUUUAGAGAGGGGAAAAAAUGAGAGUAUUAGGGAAUUGUAUCUGGUUGUAAAUACAGAAAAGUCGGAUAAAUGACACCUGUCAGCACGUGCAGGUUUCUUCUGCUCUGAGGAAACAGCUCCAGACAGAAACAUGUGAGUCACAGCGGGCUUUAAAUAUAUUCAUUUCCUCUCUCUCUGGUGAUUCCUGUCGGUUUACAGGCAUGCUGGUUGUUGCUCAGCAGUCUGACAGAUUAGCUCCUACACUUUCUGCAGCUCUGACAAAUUUCCUAGCGCCUCAGUUUGAGGAUUAGAGCAGCAGGCUGGCAGAAAACACCACCGGGCUCGAUAUGUGAGGUUCAGACUGAGCUCUGAGGGAAAUGACUGAAAAAGGUGCCUGAGUGAGGGAAACCCGAGGAACAGCCCUCACAAUGGUUUCAGGACUCAGGUGAUCCGCCACUUUGUGCAGAGUCGUCGUACAGUUCGGUCUUUUUUUAUGCUAUGUUCCGGUUGUACUCAGAAGAUGGAAUUUCCGAGCGCAGAGUCCGGAAUUUAUCUGGAACGCGUCCCUGAAGUCGGAUUUCUGUCGCCAACCCUGACUUGACGACACCGUCAUAAUUCAAGAUGGUAGCGCAGUGCAUCAACAGUAAAGAGGAACAGUGAAAGCUCUCGCAAUGUUUUAAUGCUCAACGUCUAACUGUGAACACGGUGCUAUGGUGUUCGUACGAGUAAAAUACUGUGUUAUGCGUUGUUUUCAACUGGUAUAGCUAACGACAAGUAAAAACAGUUGACAACGGCUAACAACAGCUGAAAAUUAUAAACAACAGCGAACAACGGGUAACUGUAGGCGUCCAUCUUGGUUUUCCGACUUGUUAACUGGAAAGCCGUCAACUCGGAUGUAAUGUCAUUUCCAGCUCCAGCAUCCGACUUCCGAAGUGACUGGACGUCGCAGCAUUAGGCUUCUAUUUUUGCGGGAUGCCGCAGCACGUUGUAUGAAGUUGUAUGUGGCUACAAAAUAAAAUAUCCGGUUGAUUUUCAAAGUAAAAUAAAGUCAAUAUUUUGAACUGUCCUUCACGUGAUAAUGGGAGGGGCGAGGGUUGUGGGAUGUGGGUGUUUAUGUACACCAAUCGGCGGAUCUCAAUGUCCCACAGGGAAACAUGCGAGAUCUCAUGAGAUCUCGCCAAGUCUCGCAAGAAAUAUCGGUAAUCUUGCGAGCGCGUCUCCUCUGAUGGUGGCGGCUGAUUGGAUCCUGUGGGCGCUGUAUGCUUGCGCAUUUGAUUGGCCUGCCGAUCCGGAGCGUAGCCGUUCCAGUGGAAUCCCCGGGUCAGUCAAGGAUUACUGCCAAGAAAACUAUUCAAGUCUGUUUCCUUAAAGUCGGGUAUAAAUCUAAACAUCCUGUCAAAGAAACCCCAAAUCAUGAUUCGGUAUAAAAAUAUAAACAGUUUGAUAACUGAAUUUCCAAAGAACCAUCAGGAGUUGCCGUGUAACGAUCCUCUAAUCUCCGCACCAUUUCAAAGUUUGUGUCAGAAAUCACCGGCAGGUAACCAUGAAACCGCUGAAACUAUUUCAGAGAGUAUCCUCAGAACUAUCCAGUGCUGCAGGUGUUGGAUAAAACGGACUGAGCACAAACACUCAGCCUCCAUGGAAACCCGAAUAAAACUCCCCGAAGAGGACAAGGCCUCGGUCUUAUUUACCGGACAAACACCAGUAAACACAUGUGAAUGUAUCAGUGCAAGAGUGAGUCCUGAUGGGGGUAAGCUCAGACCCCCCACACUGAAGUGCUUUUUGAACAACAUUAGCAUGAAAAAAAACAAAAACACAGAGUUCUGGCUGAGGUUUCGGCUUCACUCAGUUUCCAAAAAUGUGUUAAAAGUAGAGAAAUCCUCUUUUAAUCUCUUUCACGGCUCCACUGAGCGACAGACGCCUCUUUUCUUUAACAGAGGAAGCAACAGGGAGAUUAAGUUAACUGCUGUGUUUUACAGUCUAGGAGGGUCAACCAAAGAAAAGAGGGCUGGCUGAGCACCGCUGCUCUAUGGAGUUACCAUGGCCAUGAAAGUGAAAGAGACAGAGAGACAGUAACAAACAGCUUCCACUAUCUAAAAAAUGUCACCAAGCUGUAGCUCCAGGCGAAUCAGGGGGUCGGCCAACCCGCUGAGGGAUCACCGAGGCCUGGGUACACUCUGCCAGGAUGCCUGGGGGAAGAACCAGGAGGAGGAGUCUCGCCAGUGGAAGAGAGUGGAUGAACUGGUCAGUAUAAAAUGUAAUAAUGUUGGGUAGGGCUGGGCGAUAAAACCAUAACGAAAAGAUCAAAGUUAAUUUACCUCAAUGUCAAUAUAAAACAUUGUCACUAUCCUUUCCGAUAAUCGUCAUUCUGCCAUGUUUUGGUCGACUAUACGAACAGCCAAUGAAAAGGGGAGUGUCUCCGGGUCUGAACCAAUCAUGUUCUGAAUUAGAACCAAGUAUCAACCAACUGCAGCGUCGUAGCAGACAGCAGCUCCACCCAACCAUAGCACUUUAACAGGUGAAGCCGACAGCACUGUUGGUGAGAAACAAAGAAAAUGAGUGCUACCCCCGACAGAAAUGACCAUGAAGGCUCAACAGAUGACCACAUCAAUGUCAACCACAACACUGGCGUUAGGAAAACGUCGGUGGUGUGGAGGUAUUUUGGUUUUUGGAGGUCGGACAUGAAGCAGAGUAAUGUGGACUGUAAAUUAUGUCGAGUACAUGUUCUCACAAAGUCGGGGAAUACCUCAAAUCUUUUUCACCACCUGAAGCAGCGCCACGCCGCAGAGCACGCGACACGCCAAAGGUUACAAACCCCGAGAGGAGCGAGGAGACGAAACAGACAAAAGACAUGUGACCAAUAAACACUGUUAAAUUUCAUUCUUUGAAUCCUGAUAUCGAUAUCGACUAAUACGAAAAAACAUAUCGUGAUAAACCAUUCUCCCAGAGUAGAAUACAAGAAAAACAGGCGGGACAUGAUCUCAGCAGUUUUAACGGGUGGAAACGCUGAAAACUGAAAGCAGGUAUCCGAAGUUAAGUUGGGGGUGGAAGGCUCACAUAUCGUCCUGCUGUGGUUCAUGUAAAUCAUGGUGACAAGCUAAUCUUUAAGGUUCGCGUGGCCUUGAUUGCGCUAGACCACACAUGACAACACAGACACCCAACUACAACUCCAGGAAGGACAAAAAUCAUAAUCGCUGUUAUUUUGAUUAAUCGUGAAAUCAGGAUUAUUACGUCCUUGUAAAUGCUCCAGUUUCUCUCUCUCUCUAUGAGGCUCAUCCAGUCCUUUUGGUUUUCAGACACACCUGCCUCCUCCUCCUCCGCCUCCUCCUCCUGCUCCUCUACCUGCUCCCUUCUCCGGUUGUACAAACAAACCAAACAAUAAAAUUAAUAGCUUGAAGACUCAUCUUAAGACAUUAAAAAGUGAUUAACUCUUUAUUUAAAGAGGAAACCUCCCCUUUACUUUAGACUUUGCACUCGUCUUUAAAUCAAUUUUAAAAAAAAGGCAAAUACUGAGUUUUCGUCUGAACACAAAGCAGCUUGUUGGAUUCCACUUCUGCUGAAUUAACCACAAGUCCAAGACCGAAGAGAGGUCAAAGUUCAUCCUGCACAAAGUUUAAGUCCAUGUGCCGGUUAGCGGCACAAGAUUAAAUUAGUAGAUUUUUAAAUGGAGCCUGGUGAGACCGUGGCAGCUUGCGAACAGGACGAGAAAGAACAAAAACUUUAAGAGAGGACAUUUUGUCCGAGAUUUAAUCCUCCAGCAGCUGAUCUGCCCUUCUGAAGUGCUCCUGAGCAACAUAACCCCUGAUAAAAUGAGAUUAGUAUGAAUAUGGGAGUUAAAGCUCAAACUAUUUAAAGGUAUUAAUGUCUAAUUACUAACCUAAUUACUACUCAAUGAUCAGACUCUGUUGUUGUUUUCUCUCACCUGUAUCCAGGUGAGGAUAAGCUGUAUGUUGACAUAUGUAAUGUGUUUUUCGCUCCCUGAGGGCUGAGAAAUACUCUUGUACAAAAACAGCAGAAAAUGUAGGACUGCAUGAACUUGAGCUGAGAGGCCGAAGACCCUCAUAAAGAAAAUCUCUUCACUGAUACAGUUUCGGUCGAACGAAGAUGAAGAAAAAGCAAAACUCACAUCAGAUCAUUCAACAAUUCACACUCUUCAUAUUCACAACAAACUUAGGAUUACUAUAAGUACAUUAAAGGACUAUUUUGGGGGAUUUCACAAGCCAAAAACUUGAGAAAUCCUCGAGUCUCAGCUUUUCAAAUCAGACUUUACUUUUCUUUGGGCUUUGAAAUGAAAAUUUGACCAAAUGAUCAAACAAUAGACGGAGUAAAGGAUCAUUUUUAGGGAGGAUACUUCAAAGUAUUCGGAAAAAAACAAACGGAAAUGGCACCACAAAGUUAAUACUGCACAGAAGUUGACUAUAAAGAGAACAAUGUGGCCCAUAAACAAACAUAAACUAAAUAUCAUGGCAGUCUUAUCUAACAUUAACCAACAACCGUGUCUAAAUUAGAAAAGAUAUAACCUUUCAAUACCAAAGACAAACCAAAAUAAUCACUUUGUGAUGGUUAAAUCAACGUUUAGACAAUAAUACAAGCCAUUAGAGUAUGUUACACAUGAUUUAAGUAGCAUUAUUGAGUUAAUAGACAGUUUACACUCAUUAAAGUGCCAAAACUCAGACAUAAAUGAACUUUGAGUUAGUAUUUCGAUUAAAUUAAUCAUCACAAAGCUAAAAACGAUGAAGUUACCGUUGAAAACAAUAGUCAGACACAAAGAGGAGGAAGUUUCCUGGGCAAGAAACGAAGGGAUCUACCUACAAAAAUUCAAUACGGUUAUUUUAGAAAUGCCACAGAGAAUUUUAAUCUUAAAGUCAGUCAAACUGUGGAAAACACACUGCCGAAUUGAAGAAUAUGGAAAAAAAAUGUGCAGUUGAGCGCAAAAUUCGUACAUUGCGGUUGAAUUGUAGGCUUGCGUGAAGAAAAUGUAAAAAUAUGAAUGUAGUCUGGUGAGCGUAAAACAUCAUCGCGUUUAAAAACCUGAAAUCCAGCCGGGCAAAUCGUGCGCAGUACUAUAGCGGAGCGACAGUGACACUACACUCAAUAGGGUUAGAAAAAAGACGAUAAAGUGAGAUGGAAAUUCGAGUUAAACUUACCGGUUUUAACGGCUGAAAACGGCGCGGACCCUCUCCCGCAGAAUCUCCGUCAGAAAACGAGUAAUUUUACGGUGAAACGAGAUUCGACAAAAAAUUCUCGCUCUGGAACAUCCACAGGCAGCGCGCGCUGAGAAGCCCGAUCGAUUGU